rfam:TPA: Bos taurus chromosome 10, whole genome shotgun sequence.
AAGACUAUACUUUCAGGGAUCAUUUCUAUAGUUCGUUACUAGAGAAGUUUCUCUGAUCGUGUAGAGCACCAAGAUUAGCAAAGGC